CAUUUUGAUAUUUGGCAAAACUAAUACAAUAUUGUAAAGCUUAAAAAUAAAAUAAAAUUAAAAAAAUAAAUUAAAAAAAAAUAUAUAUAUAUAUAUAUAAUUUAGGGCACUUGAUCUUUAAGGAUCAAGUUUAAGGAGACAUUUUACCCCAGGAUUCUGUGUUAACAAUAAUCAUCUGUGUUGAUAGCCACUGUUGCUUGUGUUUAUCCCUACGUGGCAAAUACAAAAACAGCUAAACUAUUUCAUCUUCACAGAUUCUAUAUGUGUACAUGUGUGUGUGUUAUCCUUCUUUCUGGGAAGGGACCAGGUAUAUUGAGGAAAGCUCAGACUUUAAAAAAUCUGUGUCUUUAAAGUUACUAAGAAAACUCGCUGAAACCGAGUCCGAGAAAUAUAGACCAGCAGGCCGCAAGUACACGUAGAGUCUUGUGGCAGAGUGAUGGGUGGGUGGCUUAACACAACCAGGGAAGUCAGAAAGGGCUAAAGAGGCUUUUCCCACAGGGGACCUGUGCAAUCCAGGGAUUAGUAAAGAGGGGAGAUGGGAGGGCAUUUUUAUCUGUGAUCUAGAGACCUCUUAGUGGAGAUUCUUUUUCUCAGUGAGAGAACUAUAGACCAUCACUGCCUAGGCAAAGGCUGAGAAGACUGUCUAGUUCUGAAGUCUUCAAGUUACUGAUGAGGAAUGUGUGAUCAGAAAGGACAGAGGACUUGCUGACAGCAGGCCAAGUUCGAGAUUCAGUUUUCAUUGCAGGUUUCCCCAUCUUUCUUCCCUGGAUGCACGGUGAGCUGGGGAUGCUAUGCUUCUCUGCAGGAGUAUCUUCCCAAAGUCAAGAUUUGAGAGAAUAGUAAGUUUUGACCAUUUUGUAAGGUGAGGCUGAAAAGGGGAGGGCCUCCCCCUCUUUCCUGCUUCUUUAAAUUCAAUGCAGCCAGCAUUUCCCAUUCGUGCUGCUCACCCUCAGUGCUCCUCACAUUGUGUGUGCCUGUGCAUCGCCUGAGCCCAGACUCAGCCCUCUGUCCCUCCAGCCUCCUAAGGACCUGCAUCUGGUGGACUCACCUGAGGGGAGGCGUCGAGGGGGCACGGAUCUCACCUGAACUCAUUAGGAGAGGGUGAGGUGGGGCAGCCAUUUUCAGUCAGUCCGCUUCUCUUUCUGCAGAGAGAGCUGCCCAGGUCAGAGUUUGGUAACAAAUCUCCUGUUGGAUGUUCAGAAGAGGCUCCAGGAUCUUGAUCUACUGAAUCCUGGCUGCCUUAAUCCUGUAGUGAAUGUUGAAUUCAUCCAGACAUCAGGUACAAGGCAAGGUCUGGAGAAGUGACACUGCUGCAAUUUCAGGCUUAAAUCAACCACAAAUAGCAACUCCAGAGGAAUACUACUACUUAGAAAGAAUCAUGGUGCUACUUUAACAAUAUUGAAUAUGAAGACCUGGAUUAGCAAUAGGGGUGCUGACUGAAGGGACAAAUCCCUGGGAGGAACCUGCCUUACCACACAGAAGCAGAGAUUUUGGAAUUCAAAGCCUGAUGUAGUCAUAAGAGAGCAAGUCUGCUGUGGGUGUGAAUAACUGAGGUGAUGGAUGCCAAAACGAUGUGUUAAGUCAAAAAUAUUCUUCAGAGGACCAUGGAAUGGGCGUCUUUCUGGAAUAUGAGAAGGU